GGGACUGCGUGAAUUCCUAAACUCUGAAGGGUGAGCCAGAUCAGACCCCCCAACACACUUCUAAGAGUCACAAGCCAACAAGCAACACAGUGUCACAUGCCCUUAUCUUUAACCAAACCUGCACUGAGAGGCCACAAUCAAGACCCUCGCUUCCGCCAUGGGAACCACCCACAACACACUACCAGAUUAUGGGACUUACGCCCCUUCGUGCUCUGCAUAUAUGCCCAUGAAGGGUUCACCGAGCACCACAACCUUCCGUGCAGAACGUGCCACAGUAGAAGGCACGACAAUUCCGAGGGAUCCCCGCAACAAACCAACUCUGCACUGUGAGGCCAGGCCGGCACCUCAACAGAACACUUUCCCGAGGGACAAGGCGACAGGAGAAACAUUGCUGAUUGAUUCGACCACGACCGCCCCAUGGCUCCAACCGUGUUGAACAGCCCAGGGUGCACUUCCGGAUGCUUGGGAACUUGACCCAUGCAUGGUGCUGCGGAUACGCCCAAGAAGGGUUCACCGAGCACCACAACCUUCCGUGAACAACGGGCCUCGGUAGAAGCAACGACAAUUCCGAGGGAUCCCCGCAACAAACCAACCCUGCACUGUGAGGCCAGGCCGGCACCUCGACAGAACACUUUUCCGAGGGACAAGGCGACAGGAGAAACAUUGCUGAUUGAUUCGACCACGUCCGCCCCAUGGCUCCAACCGUGUUGAACAGCCCAGGGUGCACUUCCGGAUGAUUGGGAACUUGACCCAUGGUGCUGCGGCUACGCCCAUGAAGGGUUCACCGAGCACCACAACCUUCCGUGCAGAACGGGCCACAGUAGAAGCCACGACAAUUCCGAGGGAUCCCCGCAACAAACCAACUCUGCACUGUGAGGCCAGGCCGGCACCUCAACAGAACACUUUCCCGAGGGACAAGGCGACAGGAGAAACAUUGUUGAUUGAUUCGACCACGACCGCCCCAUGGCUCCAACCGUGUUGAACCGCCCAGGGUGCACUUCCGGAUGCUUGGGAACUUGACCCUUCGUGCCUGAAGAUAUUACCAAAACCAUCCGUGCAGAUCAGGCCACACAUGAACACACGACAAUUCCGAGGUAUCCGCAACAACCCAUCUCGGCACUGUGAGGCCAGGCAGGCACCUCAACAGCGCACACUUUUCCGAGGGACAGGCAACAGGGGACACGUUGCUGAUGGCCUCAACCACAAACGCGCCAUGGCCUCAACCAUGUUCAACCGCCAAAAGUGCACUUCCGGAUGCUUGGAAACUUGCCCCUUCGUGCUACGGCCAUGCCCAUUAGAGCAACACCUAGCGCCACAUCCUUCCGUGCAGAACGGGUCACACGAGAAGCCUCGGCACGUCCGAGGGAUGCCCACAACUACCCAUCUCGGCACUGUGAGGCCAGGCCGGCACCUCAACAGAGCACACAUUUCCGAGGGACGAGGCGACUGCAGAGACGAUGCUGAUGGCCUCAACCACUACCGCGCCAUGGCC